rnacentral:rRNA from 1 species
UGGCUCGAGCGAUUCGAGCUCGGCUCGACUCUCCCACCCAAUGUGUACCUACCUCUGUUGCUUUGGCGGGCCGCGGUCCUCCGCACCGGCGCCCUUCGGGGGGCUGGCCAGCGCCCGCCAGAGGACCAUAAAACUCCAGUCAGUGAACUUCGCAGUCUGAAAAACAAGUUAAUAAACUAAAACUUUCAACAACGGAUCUCUUGGUUCUGGCAUCGAUGAAGAACGCAGCGAAAUGCGAUAAGUAAUGUGAAUUGCAGAAUUCAGUGAAUCAUCGAAUCUUUGAACGCACAUUGCGCCCCUUGGUAUUCCGAGGGGCAUGCCUGUUCGAGCGUCAUUUCAACCCUCAAGCUCUGCUUGGUAUUGGGCUCCGUCCUCCACGGACGCGCCUUAAAGACCUCGGCGGUGGCGUCUUGCCUCAAGCGUAGUAGAAAACACCUCGCUUUGGAGCGCACGGCGUCGCCCGCCGGACGAACCUUUGAAUUAUUUCUCAAGGUUGACCUCGGAUCAGGUAGGGAUACCCGCUGAACUUAAGCAUAUCA